rnacentral:lncRNA from 1 species
UCGGCGGCACCUUCGGCGGCCGAAUCCCCCUUCCAGAGCCGAACAUCAAAACUCUCGGGGGUGAGCUAUGGCAGCCAAAGCCACCUCUUCAGGGGUUCGGCGGCCGAAUGAACCUUCGGCUGCCGAACCUGAGUUCAUCCAGAACUCAGCUUCGGGCACCACCAAGCUCCUCAAUCCAUUCUAACACCCAAAACAUGCAUAACACAACUCCUUACCACACAUAUACUCAAGUAUAUGCACAAAGGGGUCCAACACUAACUUACAACCCCAACAAAAGCAACAAACAUAGCACAUAAACAUACUUUCAUCAUCAAAACGUCAAAAACAUACGUUAAAACCUAAACAUGCUUCUCUACCCAAAACUUCCAUAAAACCUCUAGAAAAGCAGCAAAAGGAGCUCAAGAUCUUCACUUACCUCUUGCUACAGGAAGCUGAACGAUCUGAACUCAAACCUAGGCACCAACUUCGUCUUCACUUUUUCCAAUCCACGAAACCUCUCUUUUUUCACUCAAACGCUUCACAACCACAAAACAACUCAUUAAAAUCUGUACAUGCUUUACUCAAAUUAUACAAGUGACUCAUGGAGGACGUGGCCUCACCUCAGGAAGUGAAAGGAAAUGAAAUCUAUCCAUUUCACCGACUGGAGGCGCUGAAAUAGAGGGCUGGACGACUCCCCUUCGGCUGCCAAACCUGCAUGCAAAACCAUGCAACGUUCGGGGGCCGAACGUGACCUUCGGAAGCCGAAUCUAUAGCACUUUCGGCGGCCGAACAUUACCUUUGGCGGCCGAACAGGGCAAAAGUCCCCAUAGUCUUUUCUCUUCAAAAUUCAAGCCAAAACUCAUUCAAAACCUUUAACCAUGUAAAAACAUUUAGAAACCCAUUCUCUUACCCUUCUAGACAACUCCGACAUCCUCGAAUUCCACCGAACGGUAAGAAUUCCGAUGCCCGAUCUAGCCGGGUAUUACAAGUGAAGAUUGCCAGGACUGUUCAGUCAGGCAAAAACAAAGAGUUCAGAUUUGACAGCAAAGGGAUCCUCCACUAUGGGAAUAGAUUGUGUGUACCAGUUGAUGUGGGUCUGAAGGGAGACAUUAUGAGGGAAGCUCAUAAUGCCAGAUACAGUGUUCACCCUGGAGCCACCAAAAUGUAUCAAGAUCUGAAGAGAGUUUAUUGGUGGCCAACCAUGAAAAGAGAAGUGGCACAGUUCGUGUCAGCCUGCGAAAUAUGUCAGAGGGUGAAGUUGGAACAUCAGAAGCCGACUGGGAUGCUUAACCCACUACCGAUUCUAGAGUGGAAAUGAGAGAAUAUAGCUAUGGACUUCGUGGUGGGGUUACCGGUGACGUCCAACAGAUUGGACUCCAUAUGGGUGAUUGUGGACAGACUGACCAAAUCUGCUCACUUCAUCCCCGUCAGGAGUGGCUACUCUAUGGAUAAAUUGGCGCAGGUGUUUGUUGAUGAAGUGGUCAAGUUGCAUGGGGCUCCUGUUUCAAUAGUGUCUGAUAGAGGACCCCAGUUCACCUCCAAGUUUUGGCGGAGUCUGCAGAGUGCUAUUGGGUACCAGGCUAGAUUUCAACACUGCUUUCCAUCCUCAGAUGGACAGACAAUCAGAAAGGACCAUCCAGACAAUAGAGGAUAUGCUCAGAAUGUGUGUGUUAGAUUUUGACGGUUCUUGGAGGCAGCAUCUACCUUUAGUGGAGUUCGCCUACAAUAACAGCUAUCAUGCUAGCAUAGGGAUGGCUCCAUAUGAAGCUUUGUAUGGAAGGAAGUGCCGGUCACCUGUCUGCUGGGAGGAAGUUGGAGAAAGGGCCUUGGCAGGGCCUGAGCUAGUAGAGAUCACUAGCAGAGUGGUGCCCAUAAUCAGAGAAAGGAUCAAGACUGCUGUGAGCAGGCAAAAGAGUUAUGCAGAUAUCCGCAGAAGGUAAGUAGAGUUUCAGGAGCGGGAUUUGGUAUUGCUCAAGGUGUCUCCUAUGAAAGGGGUGAUUUGGUUUGGGAAGAAAGGUAAGCUAGCUCCACGGUACAUCAGACCCUUUGAAAUCUUGCAAAAGAUUAGGAAUGUAUUGUAUAAGCUGGAUUUACCUGCUUCUAUGGAGAGAAUCCAUCCGGUUUUCCAUGUUUCCAUGUUACGGAAGUUCGUGUCAAAUCCGAGCAAGGUUCUUAGCGAGCCUGCUGUGGAGAUCCAAGAAGAUCUCACCUAUGUUGAGCAGCCAGUACGGAUCCUAGACACCCAGAUCAGAAAGUUGAGAAACAAGGAAAUCCCGAUGGUGAAAGUCCUUUGGAAUCACCACAACAUCGAGGAGUGUACCUGGGAGACACGGGAGUCUAUGCUCCGGCAACAUCCUCAUCUCUUCUAAGGUGAGUGUUAUGUGUUUUGUAUGUAUGUUUAUGUUUGUGCUAUGCAUGUGCUAGUUGAGGAACAUUCAGGGACGAAUGUUCUUAAGGGGGGGAGAUUGUAAUACCCGGCUAGACUCCGGUACCGGAAUUCCUACCGUCCGGUGGAAUCUCGGAUGUCAAAAACCUCUAGAAGGGCAAAAUCAUGUUUUUAUAAAAUGUUUUAAUGUAUUUUAUGGUUUUAAGUAAGAAAGAAAUUGAGUUUUGAAUGAAAAAGACCAUGGAGGGAAAUCCAGGUUCGGCCGCCGAACCCCAUGUUCGGCCGCCGAACUUGCAUGAGUUUUGGAGGCACUUUAGGCUUCCGAAGGUGGCCUGGCCAGCCCCUAUAAGAAGCCCCAUGGCCGAAAAUGGGCGAGUUUCUUCCCCAUUUCCAGCCAGAGGUGAGUCCAUGCCCUCCCAUGGUUGGUUUUAAUGAUUUUCCUCAAAUCUUUCAAGUUUUAACAAGUGUUUACUGGUUUUUGAAGAGUUGUGAGCUUAGAACAAGUUUUUGGAGCUUGGAGACCCAAGGAGCUAGAUUUCUCCCAUCUCGAAGUUAGGAUCAUCUCUCCUCUCGAUCUUCAAGAGGUAAGCUUAGAUCCUACCUUUCUUGUAUGUUUUAAACAAGUUUUGAGAGGUUGUGGGGUAGAAAUGCAUGUUUAGGUUAAUAUUGAGUUUUUGGUUAAUGUGUGUCGUAUGAGUUGCCAUUUGUGUUUAAAUUGGGGUUUAGGUUAGUUUGAGACCCCUAUAUGCUUGUUUUCUUGGGUUUGCAUGUUGUAGAAUAGCUAAAUAUGAGAUGGGAAGGUUUGGGAGGCAAAUGUGCAUUGUAUGGCUGAGUUCUGCCACUUUGGAAGAACUCAGGUUCGGCAGCCGAAAAGACUUUCGGCAGCCGAGCCUGCCUAUGGAAGCAAGCCUUUGGCUGCCGAACCCUGCCCCCGAAAGUGGACUUUCGGCUCUGAAAGGGAGUUUCGGCCGCCGAAGGUGCCACCGAACAUGCAUGAGUUUCGGAUCUGGAAGCAACCUUCGGCUACCGAAAGUGCCGCCGAAGGUGCAUGACUUUCGGCUCUGGAGGGACUUUCGGCCGCCGAACCUGCCGGCGAAAGUGCCCUAUUCAGCCUUCCUUUGCAUGAUUUCUAUGAUUGUUUUAAGGUGUUUUAGGGGGUUUUUGGGGAAUAAGUUAGAGUCAUGUUCAUGUAUGUUUGGUCCCUCAUUUGAGUCCACCUGUGUAGGUUCGGACCCGAGGAACCGAGGACCCCAGCAAUGAGUUAGCUGCUUCAGUGUCUUUUCAGAGCUAGCCUGAGGUGAGUAGAAUAACUCUUAUGUUUCAAAGUAAAUAAAUUAGUUUUGAGCAUGUUCAUGCAUCACGAAUGCCAUGAGAUAUAUUAGGUUGUUUGCAUUAGAAUUCACGAAUAUGCUGCAUUGCAUAAUAUGAUGAUGAUGUGGAUGGGUAUUGGAUGAUCCUUUAGUCCUCAAUAUGAUAUGACAUGAUAUGGUAUGGUAUAGUGUGGAAGUCCAGAUGUGGCCUGCACUACGCCCCUGGCAUAAUGUAAGAGAAAGUCCGGGUGUGGCCUGCACUACGCCCCCGGCAUGAGUGGAUAUGUAUGAUAUGAUAUGUGUAAGAGAAAGACCAGGUGUGGCCUGCACUACGCCCCUGGCAUGAUUGGAUUAUGUAGAGGGCUAUUGGUGAUAAGUCCAUCCUUGAUGUGAUUUGUUUGUGAUGUGAUGCAUUCCAUGAAAGCACGAAUUUUAAUAUGAUGUUUCACUAUUCUGCUCACUGGGCUCUAGUAGCUCACCCCUUUCCCUUAAUUCCCCAGAUUUGCAGGUACGGGAUAGACUAGGGAGUCAGCAAGAGUAAAGAAGUCAUGUUUUAUGUAAUAGCUAGUUGUGGAUAUGAAGAUAAUGUAAUGUGAAGUGGAUAUGAUGUAAUGUAAAAGUAUGAUAUAGAAAUGUUAUGUAAUGAUGCUUAUGAAAGUUUAGAGUUGUGCUUGACCAUAGUAUUAUGUUAAUCCCUUUCUAGUACAUGAUCUUAAUGUUUAUUGAUGAUUAUUGUAAACCCAAACUUAAUUUAUGUUAUGUCACCCCAUUGGAGCAUUGAUGAGGACUCCAAGGUGGGGUUAAUGUUUAUGUUUAUGAAUAGUACAUGCACUGGUUGAGUUUGGUGAUUGAAUGGAAAGAAAAGUUCAAAAUUUUUAUGUAUGUUGUUGAUCAUGUAUGGGAUUAAACAGGUUCACAGGUUGAAUGUAACAGCCCGGCCCCGUACGACCGGCCCUGUUACCGCUCACAGCCCGUGACCUUCCUCUGGGCCCAGCCACUGUGAGCAGCUCUUAACAUCCCUUCACCCUCACGGGUUCCGGGCAGGAUUUGUCCCUCGGGGGAGCCAUUACGGCCCGCCCUAGCCCGAGUGGAUUUGGCCCAAUUCCUUCCUCUGGGAAUUAGGUCGCCUCCCCCACUGCUCGAACCCUUGACCUCCCACUUUAAGGGAAUAGUCUGGUGAGAGUGAGUACCAAUUGUGCCAUUUCUCUGUAACGCCCCGGAAAUCCGGACCGCUACCGGCGCUAGGAUCCAGAUCGGCGUAAGGCCGCCGGGACCCGUAGCAAGCCUGACAUACAACCUGUAUACCUGUAUAGUCCCAUACAUGAUCAACAGCAUACAUAAAACUGUAAACAUUUUUCUUUCUUUUCCAAGCUCAACCUGUGCAUGCACAUAACUAUAGACAUAAACCUCCACUGGAGCCCUCGUCAAAUGCUCCCAUGGGGUGUCUCAUCAUUACAUAAAGCUUGGACUAUCAUAGAUCAUAUCUCAUAAACAAUUCUAUAGAUCAUGUGUAUAAGAGGGACAACUAUACAUAUAGGGUCAAGCACAUCUCUAAUCCUCAAUAUCAUACAUAACAUUACAUAACUGUUCAAUACUCUUACAUUACAUCAAAACAUUUGUCAUGUCCACAUUCUAACUAUUACAUAACAUCUCUUCAGUACUCUGGCUAACCUUCUGAUCUACCCUGUACCUGCACAUCUGGGGUUAGGGGAGAGGGGUGAGCUAGAAAGCCCAGUGAGCAGAAUAGAGAAAAACAUUAUAUUAGAGUUUCAUGCUCACAUGAAAUGCAACACAUCACAAACAAAUCACAUAAGGAUGGUAUUGUCACCUCUAGUCCUCUACAAUCCAAAGUGCCGGGACGUAGAAUGGGUCAACCGGUCUUUCUCUUACAUAACAUACAUAACAUAACAUUCCAAUAUGCCAGGGACGUAGAAUGGGUCAACCUGGUCUUUCUCUUAUUCUGGCCGGGACGUAGAAUGGGUCAACCGGCAAACAUACCAUACCAUGUCUCAUCAUAACAUAUCAAGGACUAAAGGAUCAUUCAAUGCCCAUCCACAUCAUCAUCAAGUAUGCAAUGCAACAUAUUCGUGAACUAAUGCAAGCAACCUAUUAUAUUCACAUGGCAUUCAUGAUGCAUGGGUCAUGCUCAAAACUCACAUUUCAUUAAUUAAAAAUUUAGGUUAAUUCCACUCACCUCUGGCUAGCUCUGACAAUACUCUGAAGCAGCUAUCACUGCUGGGGUCCUCGGUUCCUCGGGUCCGAACCUACACAGGUGGACUCGAAUGAGGGACCAAACAUACUUUAUCAAGACUCUAACAUACUCCCCAAAAACCCCCUAGAAUAUCAUGAAAACAUCACAUAAAAAUAUGCAUGAAAUGGCUGAACAGGGCACUUUCGGCGGCAGGUUCGGCGGCCGAAAGUCCCAGACAGAGACGAAAGUCAGGCAGGUUCGGCGGCACCUUCGGCGGCCGAAAGUGCCAGACAGAGACGAAAGUCUCUUUUCGGGGGCACCUUCGGCAGCCGAAUGCUGCCUCCACAAGAGGGGUUCGGCGGCCGAAACUUCCUUCGGCUGCCGAACCUGGUUUCUGCCAAACGGGCAGAAACUUGGUUCAAAUGAACCUCCUGCCUCCCAAAACCAUAAAUCAUGCAUAUAACUCAACCAAAACAUGCAUACAAGCUCCUAGGGGCCUCAAACAAACAUAUACCCCAUCUACAACACUCCAAACACACACAAUCAAGCCACAUUGUUCAUUAAAGCAUCAAAAACCCAUAAGCUCAACAUAUACCCUAACAUGCAUUCUACCCCUUAAAACUUCAUAAAACUUGUUUAAAACGCAUAAUAAGGGUGGAUCCGAGCUUAC